rnacentral:rRNA from 1 species
GAGUAACGCGUAAGUAACCAACCCCUAAGUGGAGGAUAACUCUGAGAAAUCGGGGCUAAUACUCCAUGUGGUGGUGGGGGUGAAGCUCCAUCACCAAAGCCUUCGGGCGCUUGGGGACGGGCUUGCGUCCGAUUAGCUAGUUGGUGAGGUAACGGCCCACCAAGGCGAUGAUCGGUAGCUGGUUCGAGAGGACGAUCAGCCACACUGGAACUGAGACACGGUCCAGACUCCUACGGGAGGCAGCAGCAAGGAAUAUUGCGCAAUGGACGAAAGUCUGACGCAGCGACGCCGCGUGGGGGAAGAAUGCCUUCGGGUCGUAAACCCCUUUUCCCAGGGACGAAUUAUGACGGUACCUGGGGAAUAAGCAUCGGCCAACUACGUGCCAGCAGCCGCGGUAAUACGUAGGAUGCUAGCGUUAUCCGGAUUUAUUGGGCGUAAAGAGGGCGCAGGUGGCUUGGUAAGUCGGUUGUUAAAUCUCCUGGCUUAACUAGGAGGCACCAUCCGAUACUGCCUGGCUAGAGUGCAUCAGGAGAAGAUGGAAUUCCCGGUGUAGUGGUGAAAUGCGUAGAUAUCGGGAGGAACACCAGUGGCGAAGGCGGUCUUCUAGGAUGUUACUGACGCUGAGGCCCGAAAGCGUGGGGAGCAAACAGGAUCAGAUACCCUGGUAGUCCACGCUGUAAACUAUGAACACUAGGUAUAGGGAGUAUCGACCCUCUCUGUGCCGAAGCUAACGCUUUAAGUGUUCCGCCUGGGGACUACGGUCGCAAGACUAAAACUCAAAGGAAUUGACGGGGGCCCGCACAAGCAGCGGAGCGUGUGGUUUAAUUCGAUGCAACGCGAAGAACCUUACCAGGGCUUGACAUGUCGGAAGUAGUGAACCGAAAGGGGAACGACCUGUCAAGUCAGGAGCCGUCACAGGUGCUGCAUGGUUGUCGUCAGCUCGUGCCGUGAGGUGUAGGGUUAAGUCCCAUAACGAGCGCAACCCUUGUUGCCAGUUAAUUUCUCUGGCGAGACUGCCCCGCAAACGGGGAGGAAGGCGGGGAUGACGUCAAAUCAGCAUGGCCUUUAUGCCCUGGGCCACACACACGCUACAUGGGUGGUACACGGGUAGCAUGGAGUGAUUCGGAGCUAAUCCUUAAAACCAUCCCCAGUUCGGAUUGCAGAAA